rnacentral:lncRNA from 1 species
CUUCCAAUAUGGUAACUCCCAAAAUAUACUCUUCUUGUGCCAGUUGUGAUGAACACCGUAAGAAUCAGACAUAUUACGAGGGACAUGCCAAUUACCACCCCAGCGAACUGUUUCGUUAGCUCCGUAGUAGUCGAUUUGCGCUUCAAUUUGUUCUCCAGUUAGAUAUGGAGGAGGAGUGUCUCUCACAACCUUUUUGUGCCUAAACAAAUUCUUGUUUCUUCGGUACGGAUGGCCAACUGGAAGAAAUCGACGGUGACAAUCGAACCAAC